AGAUUCCAGGCCCUACGGGGCGCAGCAGGCGCGAAACCUUUACACUGCACGACAGUGCGAUAAGGGGACCCCGAGUGCGAGGGCAUACAGUCCUCGCUUUUGUGUACCGUAGGGAGGUACACGAAUAAGGGCUGGGCAAGACCGGUGCCAGCCGCCGCGGUAAUACCGGCAGCUCAAGUGAUGGCCGCUGUUAUUGGGCCUAAAGCGUCCGUAGCCGGCCAGACUAGUCCGUCGGGAAAUCCACCUGCUCAACAGGUGGGCGUCCGGCGGAAACUCUCUGGCUUGGGACCAGACGACCCGAGGGGUACGUCCGGGGUAGGAGUGAAAUCCUGUAAUCCUGGACGGACCACCGAUAGCGAAAGCACCUCGGGAGGAUGGAUCCGACGGUGAGGGACGAAAGCUGGGGUCUCGAACCGGAUUAGAUACCCGGGUAGUCCCAGCCGUAAACGAUGUCUGCUAGGUAGCCGUAAACGAUGCUCGCUAGGUGUGGCACAGGCUACGCGCCUGUGCUGUGCCGUAGGGAAGCCGAGAAGCAGACCGCCUGGGAAGUACGUCCGCAAGGAUGAAACUUAAAGGAAUUGGCGGGGGAGCACUACAACCGGAGGAGCCUGCGGUUUAAUUGGACUCAACGCCGGACAUCUCACCAGCUCCGACUACAGUAAUGACGAUCAGGUUGAUGACCUCGUUCGAGCUGUAGAGAGGAGGUGCAUGGCCGCCGCCAGCUCGUACCGUGAGGCGUCCUGUUAAGUCAGG
rnacentral:rRNA from 1 species